rnacentral:rRNA from 1 species
AAGCCUGAUGCAGCAACGCCGCGUGAGGGAUGACGGCCUUCGGGUUGUAAACCUCUUUUAGCAGGGAAGAAGCGAAAGUGACGGUACCUGCAGAAAAAGCGCCGGCUAACUACGUGCCAGCAGCCGCGGUAAUACGUAGGGCGCAAGCGUUAUCCGGAAUUAUUGGGCGUAAAGAGCUCGUAGGCGGUUUGUCGCGUCUGCUGUGAAAUCCCGAGGCUCAACUUCGGGUCUGCAGUGGGUACGGGCAGACUAGAGUGCGGUAGGGGAGAUUGGAAUUCCUGGUGUAGCGGUGGAAUGCGCAGAUAUCAGGAGGAACACCGAUGGCGAAGGCAGAUCUCUGGGCCGUAACUGACGCUGAGGAGCGAAAGGGUGGGGAGCAAACAGGCUUAGAUACCCUGGUAGUCCACCCCGUAAACGUUGGGAACUAGUUGUGGGGUCCAUUCCACGGAUUCCGUGACGCAGCUAACGCAUUAAGUUCCCCGCCUGGGGAGUACGGCCGCAAGGCUAAAACUCAAAGGAAUUGACGGGGACCCGCACAAGCGGCGGAGCAUGCGGAUUAAUUCGAUGCAACGCGAAGAACCUUACCAAGGCUUGACAUAUACGAUAACGCUGCAGAAAUGUAGAACUCUUUGGACACUCGUAAACAGGUGGUGCAUGGUUGUCGUCAGCUCGUGUCGUGAGAUGUUGGGUUAAGUCCCGCAACGAGCGCAACCCUCGUUCUAUGUUGCCAGCACGUAAUGGUGGGAACUCAUGGGAUACUGCCGGGGUCAACUCGGAGGAAGGUGGGGAUGACGUCAAAUCAUCAUGCCCCUUAUGUCUUGGGCUUCACGCAUGCUACAAUGGCCGGUACAAAGGGCUGCAAUACCGUGAGGUGGAGCGAAUCCCAAAA